GAUGAACGCUAGCUACAGGCUUAACACAUGCAAGUCGAGGGACCGGCGCACGGGUGAGUAACACGUAUCCAACCUUCCCUUUGCUCGGGGAUAGCCUUUCGCAAGAAAGAUUAAUACCCGAUGUAAAGGAUGGGGAUGCGUUCGAUUAGGUUGUUGGUGAGGUAACGGCUCACCAAGCCUUCGGUGGAUAGGGGUUCUGAUGGGAAGGUCCACGGCAUUGGAACUGAGACACGGUCCAAAAUGGUACGGGAGGCAGCAGUGAAGAGUAUUGGGGAAGGGGCGUUAGCCUGAACCUGCCAAGUAGCGUGAAGGAUGAAGGCUUAUGGGUCUUAAACUUGUUGUAUAUAAGAAUAUGUAUUAUAUGAAUAAGGAUCGGCUAACUCCGUGCCAGCAGCCGCGGUAAUUC
rnacentral:rRNA from 1 species